GGGCGUAUGGUGUAGUGGUAUCACGUCUGCUUCGCAUGCAGAAGGCCCCGGGUUCAAAUCCCGGUACGUCCA
rfam:Perkinsus marinus ATCC 50983 gcontig_1104296409044, whole genome shotgun sequence.